rnacentral:lncRNA from 1 species
UUUAAAAAAAAAACCCUAAAGUUUUGAGAUCCCCUCACUCUCCCCUCUGCUAUUCGCCGAAAGGCCUAUGCCCAAGCCUUCAACCGCCCAAAAAGUCGCUUGCGACCAAGAAAGCAGGGCCCUCCGACAGUGUGAGAACGAUGCGCGGUGAGUCCCUCUCUUUCUCUCCUAUCUUUAGUUCGUGUUGUGGAUUCGAAUGGGGAAGGAAAAAAUGAAAAAAAAAAGAAGAAACAAAAUAAAGCUGUAGUAAAUAAUCACCUUUGAAAAUAUUAUUUGGUUGCUUUCUACUGAUUUUUGUGUGUAUUUUGUAUACAAUCCGUAACCAAUUUCUCUGGAAAAAUAAGAGUAAAAAAAAAAAGGUCCCCUAUAAUGAAUUUUCAUGAGGCUUUUAUAGUCUUUUUACAACUAUUUUUCUACAUGUUUGCAGGUACGUGGGCGAGCGGGUAGUGCGGCUUUGAAGGCCUGAGUGGCGUGGGACGCGGAGGUCGUUGGUGGAGCGGCGGCUGUUGCAAGUACUGGGGACUAGGGAUUUUUGUUGAAAAGUUUAGGUUUUGGGCCUCUUUGGGCUUUAGGGUUAUUUAGGGCUUGGGUUUAAGUUUUAUUUUGGGCUUUAGAUUUGGGUUAAAAAUAACUGGGCUUGUAAUUUGGUCUGUAAAAAAAACUUUUAUUUCUGUUUAUUUGUUUGUGGGUCCUAGGCCCGGGCUAAAAUUGGGCCUUACAACUGCUCUUCUUUGCUUAUUUUCGUGUAACGAGAAUGAAGCAAAGACUUUAAAAGGACCAAUUUUACCCGGUCUUUGCUGAGUCUUGACUUCCUUUGGCAUCUCUUCUUCAAGUAGCCUCGUUAAGGCUCACUGUCUUUGAUCUGCUCUACUACUGCUUAGAGGGAUAAGAUCUGUAAUUUUCAACCUGUUCCCUACUGCUUAGGAGGAUAGGGUGGCCUGUCAUUUUUAGCCUGUUUCCUUACUACUUAAGGGGUUAAGGCUCACCGUCUUCGAUCUGCUCCACUACUGUUUAGAGAGAUAAGAUCUGUAAUUUUUAGCCUGUUACCCUACUGCUUAGGGGGUUAAGGCUCACCGUCUUCGAUCUGCUCCACUACUAUUUAGGGAGAUAAGUUUUAUAAUUUCCUGCUUGUUACCCUACUGCUUAGGGGGUUAAGGCUCGCUGUCUUUGAUCUGCUCCACUACUAUUUAAAGAGAUAAGAUCUAUUAUUUCCAUCCUGUUACCCUACUGCUUAGGGGGUUAAGGCUUGCUAUCUUCGAUCUGCUCCACUACUGUUUAGGGGAGAUCUUUAUUUUCCAACCUAUUACCCUACCGCUUAGGGGGUUAAGGCUCCACUACUGUAUUUUCCAAGAGCGGUGGUUGAACUUGCGUAGCGACUUCUUUCCACCUCUGAGCAUACUGUCUGAAACUUUCAUUUGACUUCUUCUCUAUGUUCUGUAACGUGAUCCAGUUAGGCUCUAUGUCCGUCACAUGACCAUACUACUUCAUGAAGGCCUGUGCUAGGUCCCUCCACGAUUUAAUUUGGGUGCGACUCAGUUAAUUGUACCAUUUGGCCGCAGCCCCCACUCAGAUUAUCCUGGAAACAGUGAACUAGCAACUGAUCAUUAUUGACGUGACCAGUCAUCCUCCUGCAAAACAUCGUGAUGUGAGCCUCAGGGCAACUGGUUCGGUUGUAUUUCUCAAAUUCCGGCAUUUUGAACUUCGGAGGGAGCACUAGAUCCGGAACUAAGCUCAACUCUUUAGCAUCCAUACCAUAUUGAUAAUCUGCGCUUUUCAGCGCCUUAAAUUUCUCCUCCAGCCAUUUGUAUCAGACUUCCAGCUGCUUUGGGAGUUCUCCUUUUGCCUUCUCCACCUCUGCUAUCUCAUCAAAGUCGGGGACCAAAGGAUUUACCCGAUUGUCCUCGAGUUUAGAACACGAGCCUGUCGAAAAAUUCAUCGGUCCUGAAAUACCAGCCUGAUACUGGGUUUGAUACUAACAGACACCCUUUGCAGUGGUACUGGGAUAUUUACUAGGGUGAAACCUGGAGGGUAAGCAAGGAUCUCACUAUCGUCCUCAGGGUUGACCAUAGGGCUAUUUCCUUUUUCUGGCCCUCCGAGCAGCAACUGAGUUAGCUAAUUUAUCAUGUCCUUCUGCGAUUUUUGCAUCUGAUCUUUCAUAUCCUGCUGAAUCUUGACCAGUUGCUCUUGCAUCUGUGCUUGCAGUUGCUCCUGCAUUUCUUUCUGCAUUUGUUCCAGUUUUUCCAGAUUUUGAUCCAUAGUUUUGGUCUUUUUCCGUGUGUAGUAUUGAUGUUCCAGGGUAACCUUUAUAAAAAAAAAGAUUUCUAAUUAAUUAGGGUUCCUUUGUGAAAUUUAAUGCACAUAAUGCAAUGUAAUGAAAAUGCAUGAGAUGAAUGCAAGACUAAAGAGGCGUUGAUUCUGAUUUAAUUUCAUUUAAAAAACUUAAUUAGAAAACUAAAUCCUUUACAUAAAACAGAUCAUAUAUACGACUUUGUCAUAAUGCCCAAAUUUUUAACUUUCUUAAGAAGGCAACCCAGCUCACGACCCCGGUCUGACUCUAACUCAUACUUCACACUUAGCACAUCAGCCUGAACUGCUAAGGUCUGUAAAUGAUCGGCCACUUCUCGAAUCUGAGCCACGGCUUUGCCCAUGAUAUGAUCUCUAUCCCUAACCUGGUCCUGCGAUCGACGGAACUGUUCCUUCCACUGCUCAUUAUUCGACUCAAGGAAUUCGAUUCGAAGUUCACAGUUCUGUAGUACAGACUCGAGUUCUUCUAACUUCCCUUUCAAAUCCUCGAUUCUAAUCAGGCUGGCUCUUAAUUCAAUGUCGAAGUCACGAACCCGACGCUAGUGUAGUGCCUUUUCUAACUCCGCUACCCGAGCUGCUAAUAUCUGCUUCUCAUCUUGGCCUUCAGUCAAACUCUUCUUCAAGGCAUUUUUACGUGUUCGAGCAUCAUGAAACCUCUUCUUCCACUGAUCAGCUCUAGUUUUUCUUCUUGAAUUUCUUGUCGCCACUGCUUCGAUGUCUUCCUCAAUCCGGCUAUUUUCAUCGACAUACGUAGCUUGUUGUAGUCAGCCUUCAAACUGUCCAAGUCCUCUUCGGCCUUCCUCUUCCCCUUCCUUAACUUCUCGGCCUCGAGCUUCUGAACAUUGGCAUCUAACCUCAAGUGCAUUUUUUUCUCCUCUAAUUGUUCUAUCUUUUUUCCUAACUCUAAAUUUCUCUUUUGGAAGUCCUGCUUUAUAAUCUCUAACUCGGAGGAGACUACUUCAAGGUAUUCUUCUAUCGGUCGAGUGUCUUCUUGCUUUGGUCGAGGGAUAUUAUCAUUAAUUCUUCUACCCCACCAACCAUCAUAUUCAAGAGUCGUCAUUGGACCUACAGCAACUCUCUUCAUCCGGCGAGUUUGGUUCCAAGCAUUAGAAAUCUCCUUAAUCUUUUUCUUGUAGUUAAAUCCCCCACACGUGAAUUCAAAUUGAGCUAGCCCAUGCAUUGCUGUAUGAACUGUCUCGAUCUAUAUUGCCCAGCUCGAGCAAAGGAGCAUACCAAUGGCUCUCCGAAUUUCGAGCAAAGAGACCCAGUCAAAGCUCCCACAUCGGAAAAGAAUUUCGUCAAGAACCAACCAAGGAGCUCUCCACUCGAUAUCCUCCUCCUGGAGAUUUUGAAGGAGCGAGAUCCAAUUUUCUUCUGAUAUGUCGUCUCUCCUAGACGUGGUUGCUACCUCCUUUAGCGGGGAGUAAUUCUCGGAGAAAACCCGAUAAGAAACUUUAUCUACCUUCCAAAAAUGGCUAUGAAACCAAACUAAUAAUAACUUCGCACACCUUAUAAAUCUGCCCUCGCCAGCUCUCCUGCAUGCGUUCAAAGAUCUAAAUGUCUCAACCAAGAUUGAAGAAACAGAUGUGACUCCUUUGUCAAGUCGGUCAAAGAGAUCCGAGACCGCCUCAUCUACAUACCCUAAUGCCCUAGGGAAAAUCAUUAAACCAUAGAUGCUUAAAGCAAAAACAUCAACUCUCUUCUUCGUAUCAGGAUGCACUAGAAUCAAAUCCCUCAAAUUCCUCCAUGGGAUGCACUUACAUUCCCCCUUUUGCUUGACCCUUGCAGUAAUCCCCUGCUCACUCAUCCUUGUAAUAUUCAUCAAUUUCUUCAAAAAGGUUGGGACAUAAGCGGCUCUCGAAUAGGCCUUAUCGACUUGGAUCUUCAGACAAUGAAGUAAAGCCGUAUAUUCUUCUAUGGUAGGUACCAAAUCUACCCUCCCAAAGGUAAAACAACUGUAGGCAGGAUUCCAAUACUGAGCGAGGGCCCGGAAUAAAUGCUCGUCUACCUUGACGUCAAGUAAGUAAGUCAAAUCCCCAUAAUUACCAUAGAACAACUGCUUGGUCUCUUCAUCCCACUGGUCCCAUAUCUGUUUUAAUUCCUGAAGAUCAUUUUUUGUCAUACUAAUGCGAGUGUAAUCACACAAUUCUAAUGUAUACCCCUCGGCUAGACUGUCCCCUUUCUCUAAUUACGUUUUCUCUGACCAUAUACGGACAGUCGCAUUAUCUUCCACUUUAUCAAGAAAUUCGUUCUCCAUAACAAGCUCCCUAAGUUAGUAAUCGAAUGUGAAUCGACACCUCUUUGAAAUGAAAGGACAUGCAAUCAUGGCCAAAAUAAAACACAACAAGUCAGUAUCAUAUACCAAAAAUAAAAGUCAAAGCAAAUGAGGGGGGAAAAAUCAAGCACCUAUCUGGGUGAUUGCUAAGGUUUGGCGUAGUCCUACUUAGGGUAAGCUUUUAGGGCUUUUUACAUGCGGUUUAGUUCUAAAGAAAAGGGUACCUGAACUAGUAAAUUCCUUAAUCCUCACCCAUUAUAGGCUCAUAUGGACCAAGUUCAGUUCAGGGGAAUACAUUUCCCUAUGGCUGCACGGAGGUGAAAACCUCACGAAAACAAAGGUACGGAUGUAUCCUGAAAGCGAUCCACUGUCCUGCACGGAGGUGAAAACCUCACGAAGGAAAUAGUUUCCCACUCCCACUUAAAAGGAGCGACCACAACGGUAUGCAAGAUGAUGCAAAGGGAUAUAAAAACUAAAAAUACAAAACAUGAAAAAAAAUGAUGAACCAUAAAACCAAUAAAAUGCAAUAAAAUGAUCGUAUGUUAAAAAGCAAAUUUUAAAUUUUCGACAAAAGGACAGAAAAUAAUCAAUUUUACGACUUGACUCUCUUAUUGGUCCCCAGUGGAGUCGCCAAGCUGUCGAAACCAGUUUUAAAUUUGAAAUACGAGAGUCGACUUAAAAACAAAAAAAUAGAGUCGCCACCGAUCUUUUUCGACGUAUGAUUGGAUCACCUUGAGUUUGAUCAUUUUGAUAAAACAUUUUGAUUUAUUAAAACAAUGAUUUUGAUCUACGAAAUUCGAGAAUAAAGGUUCGGGAGUCGGUUACUCACGAGGAAGGGUUAGCACCCUCGUAACGCUCAAAAUUGGUACCGAAUUGAUUAAUUAAUGUCUUAACGUCGAAUGUUUGAAAAGAUUUUAGAAUACAAUCCUUUUUUAUUUUUAAAAAAGAACAUUUGAAUAAAUUACAUGGAAUGCUAAGACCCUCUUAUCUCGAAGAAAUAAAAUGUCACACCCAGUAAGUUAGGAUACAACAUUUUAAACCCUCGAAAAUAAGUUUGUCUUUUAAUUUUCAAAAGUCAUGCCUUUAAGUUUAAAAAAAUAUAUUCGGUUAUUUGGGUCAAAUGAAAAAUCGAAACCCAGUAAGUUAGGGCACAGUCUCUCAAAAUUUCAAAUACAGAAUAUUUCAUUUAUUUUUUAGAAAUCCUUAUCUCGAGAUGCAAAGAGCCAUAUCCAGUGAGUUAGGAUACAACACUUCGAAUUCUUGAGAAUAAACUUUUAUUUGAAACUUAAUUGUUUUGAUUUAAAGAAGGCUACUCGAUUACUUAGAUUCGACGAGAAAAAUCAAAACCCAGUAAGUUAGGGCACAAUUUUCUCAAAGCUCCCAAGUACCGAAUAUUGCCUUAUUUAAAUUUUUUUGAAUAAAAUGUAAUAAAUAAAUGAAAUGUAUUUUUAUUUAAAAGGAUAAUUCGAUAACAUAAGGAAUAAACACGUGGCAAUAACAUUUCAUGAAUAAUCUAAAAUAAUAAGGAAAUGCAAAGGAACAACUUAGAAUACAUGCAAUGGCAGCAUAUCAUAUUCUAUAUAAAUACUACCAUUUAUAACCAAGGGCUAAUGAAUAAGAAACCAAUUUUAAAAGAAGUUCCAAAUAAGUUACACAAAUAAAAUGUAACAAGUUUUAAAAUAAAAUAAAAUGAAUAAUAGGAAAAAAGAAAAUUUGGAAAUAUCACUAUACAAACUAUACAAAAAUUUUAAAACAGGUAAUAGAUAUAAGAAUUUAAAAAUAAAUAGAAAAAUAAAAGAAAUAAUAUACUAAAUGGUAAUGUACAAUGAAUUUUAAAAUAAAUAUUAUAAGGUAAAUAAUUUAAAUGAAAGUUUGAACUGUAUCAAAAAAAAAAAGAUAAUAUGUGUAAUACGUAAAUGAAAUUUCAAAACAAAUAAUAUGAAUAAAAGGUUAAAAGUAAAUGACAAACAAAAUAAUAUAUAUACAUGAAAAAAAAACCUAAUAUAAAUAAUAUAUAUAAUAGUAAUAACAAUAUAUGAAAGUGUUUCAGAUAGACAAAUAUGUACAUGAAAAUAAAAUAAAUAAAUAAAGUGUGAAAUCAAAAUAAUUUAAAAUAAUAUGUUAAAAUAACAUGUUUAUUCUAAAAAAAAUGAAUAUCUAAAACUUAAUUGUGAGAAAAACAAAAUCCAAGGGAUAAUUUAUAAACAAAACAAAUCAUUAAAACAGAAUUUUGGGCCGAAAUUAAAUGAGCACAAAUGUUCGAGGACUAAAACUGAAAAUGCCCCAAAUCUCAAAGUACUGCGCUAAGGAGAGGGCCAAAUUGAAAUAACGCACAGAUUACAGGGACAAUUUAAAAGAAUUUAAAAAAAUUUAAACAGGGCUCGAUUGAAUGCUAGGGUGAAGGAGGGGGACUGAUUGCGGAAAUUACCCAUUUAAGGGGAAAAUGCGCGUGAAUUCAGUCAAACCGCGUACAGACUCUACCCCCCGGCAUGCUGUUUGUUUUAUUUUUUAAAAUUAAAACUUGUUUUAAAUCAUUUUUUUUGCUUUAAAAAAACAUUUUUUUGAUUUUUUUUAAAAAAAAAACCCUAAAGUUUUGAGAUCCCCUCACUCUCCCCUCUGCUCUUCGCCAAAAGGCCUAUACCCAAGCCUUCAACCGCCCCAAAAGUCGCUUGCGACCAACGAAGCAGGGCCCUCCGACGGUGUGAGCACGAUGCGCGGUGAGUACCUCUUUUUCUUUCCUAUCUUUAGUUCGUGUUGUGGAUUCGAAUGGGGAAGGAAAAAAAUGAAAAAAAAAGAAGAAACAAAAUAAAGCUGUAGUAAAUAAUCACCUUUGAAAAUAUUCUUUGGUUGCUUUCUACUGAUUUUUGUGUGUAUUUUGUAUACAAUCCGUAACCAAUUUCUCUGAAAAAAUAAGAAUAAAAAAAAAGGUCCCUUAUAAUGGAUUUUCAUGAGGCUUUUAUAGCCUUUUUACAACUGUUUUUCUACAUGUUUGCAGGUACGUGGGCGAGCAUCCCACUGAUGUGGCUCGGGUAGUGCGGCCUUGGAGGCCCCAGUGGCGUGGGACGCAGAGGUCGUUAGUGGAGCGGCGGCUGUUGCAAGUACUGGGGACUAGGGAUUUUUGUUGAAAAGUUUAGGUUUUGGGCCCCUUUGGGCUUUAGGGUUAUUUAGGGCUUGGAUUUAAGUUUUAUUUUGGGCUUUAGAUUUGAGUUAAAAAUAACUGGGCUUGUAAUUUGGUCGGUAAAAAAACUUUUAUUUCUGUUUAUUUGUUUGUGGGUCUUGGGCCCGGGCUAAAAUUAGGCCCUGCAGCAAGUUUUAAAUUUUCAUUAUAAUCUAUAAAAAAUUAUUAUAAAAUAAUAUUAUAAACUAAUAAAAUAUAAUUACCGAAAUAAUAAUUUUAAAUAAAUCAUAUUUAAUAUUUAAAAAUCUUAAUUCAGU